rnacentral:rRNA from 1 species
CCCUUAGAUGUUCUGGGCCGCACGCGCGCUACACUGACGAAGUCAGCGAGCAUCUCCUUCGCCGAAAGGUGCGGGGAAUCUUGUGAAACUUUGUCGUGCUGGGGAUUGAUUUUUGAAAUUCUUGAUCAUCAACGAGGAAUUCCUAGUAAGCGCAAGUCAGCAGCUUGCGUUGAUUACGUCCCUGCCCUUUGUACACACCGCCCGUCGCUCCUACCGAUUGGGUGUGCUGGUGAAAUGUUCGGAUCGGCCGUUUGUCGCGGUUUCCGCGUCAUGUGGCUGAGAAGUUCAUUAAACCCUCCCACCUAGAGGAAGGAGAAGUCGUAACA